CCCUUAGAGUUUGAUCCUGGCUCAGGAUGAACGCUGGCGGCGUGCUUAACACAUGCAAGUCGAGCGAAGCGCUUUGGAAAGAUUCUUCGGAUGAUUUCCUUUGUGACUGAGCGGCGGACGGGUGAGUAACGCGUGGGUAACCUGCCUCAUACAGGGGGAUAACAGCUAGAAAUGACUGCUAAUACCGCAUAAGACCACGGUACCGCAUGGUACAGUGGUAAAAACUCCGGUGGUAUGAGAUGGACCCGCGUCUGAUUAGGUAGUUGGUGGGGUAACGGCCUACCAAGCCGACGAUCAGUAGCCGACCUGAGAGGGUGACCGGCCACAUUGGGACUGAGACACGGCCCAGACUCCUACGGGAGGCAGCAGUGGGGAAUAUUGCACAAUGGAGGAAACUCUGAUGCAGCGACGCCGCGUGAAGGAUGAAGUAUUUCGGUAUGUAAACUUCUAUCAGCAGGGAAGA
rnacentral:rRNA from 1 species